rnacentral:rRNA from 1 species
UGGCGGCGUGCUACUCAUGCAUGUCGAGCGGACAGAUGAGGCCUUGCUCCUCUGAUUUAGCGGCGGACGGAGUAACACGUGGGCAACCUACCUGUAAGACGGGGAUACUCCGGGAAACCGGGGCUAAUACCGGAUAAUAAAGAGAAACGCCUGUUUCUUUUUUGAAAGUCGGUUUCGGCUGACACUUACAGAUGGGCCCGCGGCGCAUUAGCUAGUUGGUGAGGUAACGGCUCACCAAGGCGACGAUGCGUAGCCGACCUGAGAGGGUGAUCGGCCACACUGGGACUGAGACACGGCCCAGACUCCUACGGGAGGCAGCAGUGGGGAAUAUUGCGCAAUGGGCGGAAGCCUGACGCAGCGACGCCGCGUGGGGGAUGACGGCCUCCGGAGUUGUAAA